ACAUAGCUAAACACCAAAACACUAAUCGAACCUUUAGCGCUCAGGCUGCGCGAUUCUAUUGGUAUAAGAAGACAUACGAUAUGUCAUGCACUCACUGCAUGCACACUAAACAACAAUUAGGAGGAUUGCGGAGCUGAUCACAAGAAGAAAGUAGAAAUUUCUUUGACAAUUGUUCUCUGCUGAGGGUACCAGAAUAACUUUGACCAGCCACUGACAGCUAGUGAGCGUCGAUUGUCAAUUCAAAACCGCUCUUUCUGGAGUCAGGAGUCUAUAAUAGGCCCCACAGGAAUAGACGUUUUUCAAUUCCUUUGCCAAUUGAAAGCAUUACGUCUUACGAUUUCUCUGGACCGGGUAUGAGAAUCAAUGGGACCAGCCUCUGCUCUUCCAGUGUCCUACUAACCAUGUGAUGUCCGGAGUGAAGAGUGUCCAUGACAAUGGCAAAGAGGAUUGUGGCAGUUUAAGUGUUGUAAGUCAUCAAACAAAAAGUUGUGAGUUAAUUGUCUAACUUUAUCAAUAACUGGAGAGGACUCAUUAGCUAUAUACAGCUCCCGCUAUAUACAAGGUGUUUGUGGGUGCCUUCAGCUACCAUGACAAUUAAUGGAAAAGAGUAUAUAAGUAUCAAUUUAUGCGUUUUGUAACUUGAGAACACGUAUCAUUCCAUCACAUAGACCGUCAGUGGAAGAUGCUGCAGUGCAUGUGAAUAUAGUAUAAAGCAGAGCCUGUGCCAACAAUUUUUAUACAUGCAUGGUGUCGAUUCAUCUUAAUGUUGCAUGCAUGGUCUUUUACACAUGAACUGAACAGAAAUAUAUAGCUUAAAGUUAGUAGUACAAACAUUAUAGUAGCUGGAGCUGUUGGGCACUCUCAGGCAAAAAUGAUUUCCUUGUGUUAUCAUGCAGGAACGUAAAAUGACUUGUCACCACUAUUAUUAUAUAAACCUCAAUGCCUGAUUGACAUGUAUAAGCUAUAGAUCUAUAAUUUUGCCAGCAUGGUGAGGAUGAAGUCUAUCUACCUCCAGUUAUACCUCAUUAAAAGGUCUCAAUUGAUACAUAAUAAAUUGUGACAGGCUCUGGGAAAACCAGACUAUUGGAGCAGAAUUUAGUAUUGAGCUACAGCUAAAUUUAUACCUACAGUAUAAAAUCUAAAAAAAUGUUAUUCUGCAGUCCUUCUACUACCUCUCAGUAAAAUCUGAUACUCUAAAUCCAAUUUUUUCCAUCGACGUCCAAACUUCGCUAUUAUUUUUUCUACCUUAUUUUUCCUAAUUGAGCAAUUUUUGAGAGGCGUUUUUUACUCAUUUUACGGCUUCAAGUUUCUAACGCGCAUAACUCUGGUAUGAAACUAUAGGUAUGUGAACACUAAACAUGCAUAUCAUUGUGUGUAGGCGAUGCUCUACUCUAUCAUUUGGUACAUUAAUCACCAAAAUUUUAGCCUGCUCCAAUAGUCUGGUUUUCCCAGAGCUGUCACAUUAAUGAGCCUGGACAAACCACUGAAACAAAGCUAAUAAGUUAUCAUGUCUCUUGGCUUCGUUUUUAAGAGACCCAAUCCCCAUGCAUGCAUAGUGGCUAUACAAAGCCAAGAAUUUCCGAUUAACUGUUUACAUCAAUAAAUGGGAUACGCAUAUGAAUUUUCGUUCUUCUACCGUCUUUACUAUAGCUGGUGUUCUAUCUACCAUGACAAUGGCAGAGAGUGAGUAAUUACAUUAGUAUCUGAUCAAGGUGAAUGAAAUGCGCAUGACUUGUGACUCUCCUGUUUACAGAAAUUGUCUGUGCAUGUGCAUAGAAGAUUCUGGAGUGUGACUACCAGAAAUUAGAGAGCAAGCUAAGUGGAUCUAAAAUCAAUGACAUGUAGUGAAACUGAAUAUAGAUAGUCUAGUAUAUAUUGCUAAGACUAGUCUGUCCACACAGUAAUCAUGAAGAAAUGUUUGAUUUCAUAGAUCAGUAGUAAUGGAAUGUCAGAUAUCUCUAAUUUGUUCCUUGUUAGGCACAAUUAGGCAGUUUUUAUGGCACAAAAUGCACGUAUAAUAAUUACUUCACGGCAAGAACUUUCCCAAACAGUUACAUACAGUGCAUUCAGUCUAGAGUAGAAUACCACAAAAGAGUGAGUAGUUGUACUUAAAUGUAAAUAUCUUAUGAUGGUAAGAAAAUCUGCUGAUACCAUUGUCACGUAAGUGAAUGAAUAAGCAACAACAUAAUCCAAAAUGUUUCCAUGACAACAUAAGGUGGUGGGUUUGUGGUGACUAAUAAAACAGUACCCAAUUGUUAUAGUGGGUAAUCGGUUAGGGAGAGAAAAGGCCAACGGUUUCCGGCUAAGGUUUGGAAAUUUGUUACAACAUCUAUAGAUAGUUUGAAAGGUUCGAUAUUGCUUAAAUAUCUACACAUCCACCGCAGUGCUCAAAAUUGCUAGUUUUUAGUGCCGUUUCGGUUAGGGAGAGAUUUAAAGAAAAUCUUACAGCUAAGGUCCAAAAUUUCACCGAGUUAGCUUGAAUAAAUUGUCUAAUUUUUGAUAAGAAAAAUGUGUCCAGAAAUAUUUUAGUUCCGGAACCGAUAAUUUAUGUUACACACAUUUUUUUUUACGAUCACCCCCAUUUUCACCUAAAAUGAUUUCCCACUACAACAACUUUUGGGGAAAUAUUUUUGAAUAAUGUUGUAGCUUAUUCAUUCACCUAUACAAUGGUAUCAGCACAAUUUCUUAGAAAUGUUCCGAUCUUGAGAUACAUUGAAGUACAACUACUCACCUAUUUUGGUAUUCUACUCUCUAUAGACUGUAGCUAAACCAAAACACUGCAUGAUCGUGAUCCUAUUGCUAAUAAAAGAAAGACAAGAUAUCAUUUACUUCAUAUAAGCAACAAAGGAGCAUUGCGGAGCUGAUCACAAGAAGAAAAAGAAAAGAAAUUCUUGGACAAUGAACUGGCAAACCUUUGUUGGAAUGUUGCUUUUCGUAUCGGUGUUCUCUGCUGAGGGGUACCAGAAUAACUUCGUCCAGCCACUGCACGUCAAUUGUAUCAAAAAAGGCUCUUUCUGAAUCGAGUCAGGAUAAUCACCACAGAGAUAGACGUUUUCAAUUCCUUUGUAAUUAUGUCUGGGUACCGUAUAGCAGGAAAUUUUCACGGGUGCAAAUUUUCGCUAUUUGCUCAACAGAAAUUUUCGUGGGUUCUGAGUUUAAAUGCUAGGAAACCACACCCACCAAUAGCUUUGCAUGUGAAAUACCGGUGUGUGGGAGUUUUAAUUUUCGCGUUAAUUGCUCUGCCCUCGAAAAACGCGAAAUUUUGCACCCCACAAAAAUGUCCCGCUAUACGGUAUGGGACCAGCCUUUCCUCUUUGUCCUACUGACUACAUGAUGUCCGGAGUGAAGAGUAUCCAUAACAAUCACAGAGAGGAUAGAUUGUGGCAGUUUAAGUGUUGCAAGGCUUCUUGUCAUCAAACGAAGAGUUGUGAGUUGUCCAAAUUCACUGAUCAAUAACUGGAGAGGACUCAUUAACUAUAAUGCUCCCGCUAACAAAGUGUUUGUGAGUGCCUUCAGCUACCAUGACAACGGACAAGAAGAUCGUAGGUGGAAGAUGCUGCAGUGUGAAUAUAAGAAAGACGAGUAAAGCAAAGCCAGUGCCAACAACUUUUAUAUGUAGUCUUUUACACGUGAACUGAUAAUUUAGUUUAGUUUAGUAUAGACAAGUGUGUAUACUGUAUAGCUGAAACUGUU